AGUGAACGCUGGCGGUAGGCCUAACACAUGCAAGUCGAACGGCAGCACAGUAAGAGCUUGCUCUUACGGGUGGCGAGUGGCGGACGGGUGAGGAAUACAUCGGAAUCUACUUUUUCGUGGGGGAUAACGUAGGGAAACUUACGCUAAUACCGCAUACGACCUACGGGUGAAAGCAGGGGAUCUUCGGACCUUGCGCGAUUGAAUGAGCCGAUGUCGGAUUAGCUAGUUGGCGGGGUAAAGGCCCACCAAGGCGACGAUCCGUAGCUGGUCUGAGAGGAUGAUCAGCCACACUGGAACUGAGACACGGUCCAGACUCCUACGGGAGGCAGCAGUGGGGAAUAUUGGACAAUGGGCGCAAGCCUGAUCCAGCCAUACCGCGUGGGUGAAGAAGGCCUUCGGGUUGUAAAGCCCUCUUGUCGGGAAAGAAAAGCAGCAGGUUAAUACCCCGCUGUUCUGACGGUACCCAAAGAAUAAGCACCGGCUAACUUCGUG
rnacentral:rRNA from 1 species